GAUGAACGCUGGCGGCGUGCUUAACACAUGUAAGUCGAACGGUGAAGCAGAGCUUGCUCUGUGGAUCAGUGGCGAACGGGUGAGUAACACGUGAGCAACCUGCCCCUGACUCUGGGAUAAGCGCUGGAAACGGCGUCUAAUACUGGAUAUGAGCUGCGACCGCAUGGUCAGCAGUUGGAAAGAUUUUUCGGUCUGGGAUGGGCUCACGGCCUAUCAGCUUGUUGGUGAGGUAAUGGCUCACCAAGGCGUCGACGGGUAGCCGGCCUGAGAGGGUGACCGGCCACACUGGGACUGAGACACGGCCCAGACUCCUACGGGAGGCAGCAGUGGGGAAUAUUGCACAAUGGGCGAAAGCCUGAUGCAGCAACGCCGCGUGAGGGAUGACGGCCUUCGGGUUGUAAACCUCUUUUAGCAGGGAAGAAGCGAAAGUGACGGUACCUGCAGAAAAAGCGCCGGCUAACUACGUG
rnacentral:rRNA from 1 species